rnacentral:rRNA from 1 species
CCUACGGGUGGCAGCAGUGGGGAAUAUUGGACAAUGGGCGAAAGCCUGAUCCAGCCAUGCCGCGUGUGUGAAGAAGGCCUUCGGGUUGUAAAGCACUUUCAGUGGGGAAGAAAGCCUUGGGGCUAAUACCCUCGAGGAAGGACAUCACCCACAGAAGAAGCACCGGCUAACUCCGUGCCAGCAGCCGCGGUAAUACGGAGGGUGCGAGCGUUAAUCGGAAUUACUGGGCGUAAGGCGCGCGUAGGCGGUCUGAUAAGCCGGUUGUGAAAGCCCCGGGCUCAACCUGGGAACGGCAUCCGGAACUGUCAGGCUAGAGUGCAGGAGAGGAAGGUAGAAUUCCCGGUGUAGCGGUGAAAUGCGUAGAGAUCGGGAGGAAUACCAGUGGCGAAGGCGGCCUUCUGGACUGACACUGACGCUGAGGUGCGAAAGCGUGGGUAGCAAACAGGAUUAGAUACCCUAGUAGUC